AAUGAACGUUGGCGGCGUGGAUUAGGCAUGCAAGUCGAGCGGAAAGGCCCGCAAGGGCACUCGAGCGGCGUAAGGGACAGUAAUGUGUAGGUACGUACCCCUGGGUCUAGGAUAGCUGCGGGAAACUGCAAUUAAUACUAGAUGAUGUCUCCGGACCAAAGGUGUGAUUCCACCCAGGGAGCGGCCUACAUCCUAUUAGCUAGUUGGUGAGGUGACGGCUCACCAAGGCGAAGAUGGGUAGCAGGUGUGAGAGCACGACCUGCGUCACUGGGACUGAGACACUGCCCAGACACCUACGGGUGCUGCAGUCGAGAAUCUUCGGCAAUGGGCGAAAGCCUGACCGAGCGACGCCGCGUGCGGGAUGAAGGCCUUCGGGUUGU
rnacentral:rRNA from 1 species